rnacentral:tRNA from 1 species
GAGAAAUUAGUUAAUCAAUAACACUACCUUGUCGAGGUAGAAUAAUAAGUUAAAACCUUAUAUUUCUCU